GACGAACGCUGGCGGCGUGCUUAACACAUGCAAGUCGAACGGAGUGGCGAACGGGUGAGUAACACGUGUGUGACCUGCCCUGCACUUCGGGAUAAGCCUUGGAAACUGGGUCUAAUACCGGCUAGUGUGGGAUGGGCCCGCGGCCUAUCAGCUUGUUGGUGGGGUAAUGGCCCACCAAGGCGGCGACGGGUAGCCGGCCGGAGCGGGUGUACGGCCACAUUGGGACGGGGGGACGGCCCAGACUCGUACGGGAGGCAGCGGUGGGGAAUAUGGCACAAAGGGCGGAAGCCUAAUGCAGCGACGCCGGGUGGGGGAUGACGGCCUUCAGGUUGUGAACUCCUUGCGCCAUCGACGCGGUAGAUGGAGAAGAAGCACCGGCUAACUACGUGCCAGCAGCCGCGGUAAUAC
rnacentral:rRNA from 1 species